CGCGCCUGUAAUCCAAGUCCCCGGGAGGCAGAGUCUGGAGGAUCGUUUGAGUUCAGGAGCUCUGAGCUGCAGUGGACUGUGUUGAUCGGGUGUCCGCACUAAGUUCGGUAUCGAUAUGCUGAUCCUGGGGGAGCCCGGGACCAGCAGGUCGUCUAAGGAAGGGUGAACCGGCCCAGGUCGGAAACGGAGCAGGUCAAAGCCCUCGUGCCGCUUAGUAGUGGGUUCGCGCCCGUGAACAGACGCUGUAGUUCAG
rnacentral:SRP_RNA from 1 species